GUGGGGAAUUUUGGACAAUGGGCGCAAGCCUGAUCCAGCAAUGCCGCGUGUGUGAAGAAGGCCUUCGGGUUGUAAAGCACUUUUGUCCGGAAAGAAAUCUCCUGGGUUAAUACCUCGGGGGGAUGACGGUACCGGAAGAAUAAGCACCGGCUAACUACGUGCCAGCAGCCGCGGUAAUACGUAGGGUGCGAGCGUUAAUCGGAAUUACUGGGCGUAAAGCGUGCGCAGGCGGCUAUGCAAGACAGAUGUGAAAUCCCCGGGCUCAACCUGGGAACUGCCUCCAAAACUGCAGGACUAGAGUGCGUCAGAGGGGGGUGGAAUUCCGCGUGUAGCAGUGAAAUGCGUAGAGAUGCGGAGGAACACCGAUGGCGAAGGCAGCCCCCUGGGAUGACACUGACGCUCAUGCACGAAAGCGUGGGGAGCAAACAGGAUUAGAUACCCGGGUAGUCC
rnacentral:rRNA from 1 species